AGUGAACGCUGGCGGUAGGCCUAACACAUGCAAGUCGAACGGCAGCACAGUAAGAGCUUGCUCUUACGGGUGGCGAGUGGCGGACGGGUGAGGAAUACAUCGGAAUCUACUUUUUCGUGGGGGAUAGCGUAGGGAAACUUACGCUAAUACCGCAUACGACCUACGGGUGAAAGCAGGGGAUCUUCGGACCUUGCGCGAUUGAAUGAGCCGAUGUCGGGUUAGCUAGUUGGCGGGGUAAAGGCCCACCAAGGCGACGAUCCGUAGCUGGUCUGAGAGGAUGAUCAGCCACACUGGAACUGAGACACGGUCCAGACUCCUACGGGAGGCAGCAGUGGGGAAUAUUGGACAAUGGGCGCAAGCCUGAUCCAGCCAUACCGCGUGGGUGAAGAAGGCCUUCGGGUUGUAAAGCCCUUUUGUUGGGAAAGAAAAGCAGCAGGUUAAUACCCCGCUGUUCUGACGGUACCCAAAGAAUAAGCACCGGCUAACUUCGUG
rnacentral:rRNA from 1 species